ACCUGCCUGUAAGACUGGGAUAACUUCGGGAAACCGAAGCUAAUACCGGAUAGGAUCUUCUCCUUCAUGGGAGAUGAUUGAAAGAUGGUUUCGGCUAUCACUUACAGAUGGGCCCGCGGUGCAUUAGCUAGUUGGUGAGGUAACGGCUCACCAAGGCAACGAUGCAUAGCCGACCUGAGAGGGUGAUCGGCCACACUGGGACUGAGACACGGCCCAGACUCCUACGGGAGGCAGCAGUAGGGAAUCUUCCGCAAUGGACGAAAGUCUGACGGAGCAACGCCGCGUGAGUGAUGAAGGCUUUCGGGUCGUAAAACUCUGUUGUUAGGGAAGAACAAGUACGAGAGUAACUGCUCGUACCUUGACGGUACCUAACCAGAAAGCCACGGCUAACUACGUGCCAGCAGCCGCGGUAAUACGUAGGUGG
rnacentral:rRNA from 1 species